GCCAACAAUGUGGUCCUUGCAGGUCAGAGAGCACAGCUGCUUUUACUGCAGACCUGCAGGACCAGGCAAGGCUGUAAGAAUCUUGUGACUUCCCUACACCACCAGACUCCCCACAGCUCUGUCUGCCUGGACUUCUGGUUAUAAAACAGACACGGCAGAUGGCGAGGCAGACAAGCCACAGGGAGGGCAUCCUGUGGACCCUGCGGGCCGCUUCCGACUGACUUCCUCAUCUGAAGGUCACAGUCCAUCGCUGAGGGAAGUUGGGACAGGAAGCAGGAAGUGAGACAGAAGCCACUGAAGAAUGCUGCUUGCUGACUUACUCAUAGGCUCAUGCUUAGCUAAAGUCAACACAGCCCAGGACCAUUUGCCCAGGGAACGUGCUGCCCACAGUGCGGAGCUCCUUGCUACAUCAAUUGGCGUUCAGAAGCAUGCCCCACAGGCACAGGCACAAGCCAAUGUGAUGUGGACAGUCCCUCAACCGAGCCUCUUCAGUUGGCUACAAGCCAUGUCACAUUGAUAGUGAGGUCCUCUGGAACUCACUAAAUCAUGACUCGAGGAAUAAGAGGGACACAGGUAUCGAAGACAGUCAAGAAGAAAAACAGGACGAAAAUAUUCUGCAAAAAGUGAGAACAAGAGGAGAAAGCAAACUUCCCUACUAAAAUCUAUUUUAAACAUGUGCAACUAAAUUACGACAUUAGAUAAUACAAAUGGACAGCCAAUUACCUCAUAAAAACACCUAUACUCUAACUGCCUGAAAAACUCAGUGUUUGGAGGAAAUGCUCUAAGGCAUUUAUGGCAUGGAUUUAUAUAUUUACAAAUAAAAUAACCAACUAUCAUUUAAAUUCUCUAUUUUCCUCCACUAAUCUCCCCCCACCCCAAUUCAGCACAGGCCAGGCAUUUACCCGGACAACUGCCAUAAUGGUGGGAUUCGGCCACCACUGACAGGAAUGUCUCUUGGAAACAUGCCGUGCACUUCACAUGGAGAUCUUGAGCCAAGCCACAGCUCUAUGGAAUACUUAUUUAUCCGUCCCCAUGGUACGGAGACUGCAGAGUCUCAGUGACAGUGGGGUCCCCAUACAAGCGGCCACCCCCGUUGCUGCCCAAGGAGGAUCUACUGUAUCUGGUAGCAAAUGUAGCCACAAGAGAAGACGUUGAGUUCAGCCUGGACCUCGCUCCUAUGGGAGAUACUGUGACCGAGGAGAGAGGCUGCUGGGAAGUGUGGAUCAGAGAAUCUGUUACUUGAAAUACGUUACAGUUUGUUUCUUUUGCAAUGGGAAAAUAUGUCAUUUUAAACAGGAGAAUGUCAAAUAACACUUUGCAGAAGACUACAACUUUUUUGAAUAAAAUGACUAAUGAGCAGAGGAAAGAAAUAGUUCCAAAUAUCUGUUCAAAGGACAAAACACAACAUAUUCUAUAGUACUUUCUGGUUGCAUCACGUCCGAAACCUCUUUUUUAGGAUGAAGGUUUUUUUUGCGACAGGGUUUCAUGUAGCCCCAAGCUAGCCUUGAAGUCAUUCUAGAGCUGAGGAUGACACUCAGCUCCUGGUCCUCCUACAUCUACCCCUUAAGUUAUGGGACAACAAGGGGUUCCCCACAAAGCCCAGCAUGUUUCUGAAGUCUUAACUGAACAGAAAGAAACCUUCACGUGGUGACGACUGGUGAUUCUCAAAGGUGUUUCUCCAACCCCAGCUUCCUCUCACCUCAACUUCUGACUCAUAUUCAAAUCCUUACCUUACAUCUCUAGGGUGUCUAAUUCACAUCUCAAACCAAGGAUAGACAAAACCAAACAAUUCCUCCUACUCCUGUUCUCUGUCUCUGUCUCUCUCAUACACACACACACACACUUCUGGCACAAAAAAAGGCUGAGUCAUUUAUGACUUUUCUUUUUCUCAUGUGCCCAUGAAAUCCAGACAAACCUGUUUUCUAAAUAUGUGCAGAUUCACCCUGAGCCAGAGCCACACGGUCCCCUUUUGCUCACAGUGGAGGUCAGGUCAGAGUCUCUGCUAUGGAGACAACCAUCCUGGCCUCACCUCCGUCUCCUCCACUCCACCUCAGCUCCCUUAAAACAGUGAAUCUACAAAACGUAGUCUAGUCCUGUUCUGUCGGAAAGGUGAUUCCCACUCCCCUCUCCCAGGCUCCCGUUUAACCCAGUAGUGUUUCCGUGUCCCAAAUAGACUAACAACAAGGAAACACCAGAUUCCCCACCUCAGAACCUGCUUCCAUGAGACGUUUACCUGAGGGAGAGGGGAUGGUACGCCAAAGGCCAUACACCGUGGACAUGAAGUGUCAGCACAUUGGUGGCCACCUGGAACCUUAACCGGCUUCAGGACACCUCAGACUCACCCCUUUUCAGACUGGAAAUGGGGAGAAUCGCCCUUCAGCUGCCUGAUGCCCUCUGACUGUGGACUGCCCUGUUGUGCCUCCAGCCAGACUCUAGGCUGUAUGUAGACAACAGAUCCUGAGACACAAGCAGGAAGUUGGUAGAGAAGCUGAAGGGGAAUGUUCUGGAAUGGAACAGACAGGGCUGGUUCUCACCUUAGUGGUAGGGAUUAGGUGAGUUAGGAUUCAAGCUACUUUGUAUGAUAACUAAUACUACUCGGGCAAAUGCUUUUAAAGACACAAGCAAAUCAAUCUCACCACAGGUGCCCAAACCCCAGGCCCAGCAAGCACAUCUGAAAAGGAUUCAGUUUUGUAAACUUUCAGUUUUCUCUGGGAGUGCAUUGCCUAACACAGCAAGAACUGACUAUAGGCAUGACAGUCAGGCAGAAAUGAUAACUUUUCUCAUACUAAAGGUAACAAGGGACAAAAAGAAGCAGACCACACAGCAUAAACCCGACAUGCGUGGAUCGGCAGCUAAGGCAGUGACCUAGCUUCUCAGGACAAAGGAGCGAGCGCAUCCUGUCAGCCUGUGUCCUACGUGGUUCAAACCCUCGUUUAGGGGUCAGAACACUGAUGUUCUAGAUCACACCCUACAUAAACCAGUCCAAUGCCACCCCUUGAGGGUGGACGUCAUAGUGAAUAAGCAAUGAGAUUUCAGACAAGACAUCCUGCUCACCAAUAUCCUAACAAGAAGAAGGACUGGAUGCCAGGGGUCAAGACCCUGCACCCAUCCCUAGUCCUUGUGGCCGUUGAACACAUUUCAUUCGGCAACUGAAAUAUUUCUGUGCUAACACGGGAAACAGCGAGGCCAGUGAGAUGACUCAGCGGGCAAAGGACCGGCUGCCAAGCCUGAGUCCUAAAUUCAAUCUCCAGGACCCAAUCGGCCUGAGGAGAGAGCCAGCUACCGUGAGUUGUCCUCUGGCCGCCACACAAGCCCAUACGCAUGCAGGCAUACAAACCAGACACAGUGUAAUAUUUAACCACAUAGGGGAUAUCUAGAGUCUGAAGCAGUGAAAACAUCUUACUCUCCUUUCUUAUGUGGGUGUGCAUCCGUACAAGCACACGCGUUAAUGUGCACAUGUGAAGGCCACGGGUCAAAUGUGUGUGUCCUUUCUCGGGUACCGUCUGCCUUAUUUCGUGAGGCUAAGCUGACUGGCCAGUGUGCCCCGGGGAAGGCCUAUCUCCACCCCCAUAGCACUGAGAUUACAAGUGUGCGCCAUCAUACCCAGCUACGUAUACAUGGAUUCUAAAGACUGAAUUCAGGGUUCUCUGAUUGAGCUAUGUCACAAGCCUGACACUUCAUGUUUCUUCCACGGGAUUUUUCGUUUGUAAUUGAAACCUGGUGUUAGGCUGAAAGCUCCAUGAAGACAGCCACCUCCACCCUUCAUUAAAGUUAUAUCUCCAGCAGCAUGCAGGGGGCCUGACCAUACGCGGUCAACACCGUUGAAUAUGUUAUGAAUUUAAAAAGUGAAGAGAUUCCACAUAGCUAAUAAACUAUAAAAUAGGUUUUUGUAAAUGAACAGAUUGUGUUUUAUAUUGUAUUUAUGGACUAUCCACAAUGCAUUAGAGAUUCAUCAAUAUUUCACCAUAUUUUUAAUAGUACUAUAAGUUUCCUCCAUUUACAUUAGCGUCUGGCCAUGGAAGUCAAGUAAAUUCUCCAUGUUCAUUUAGCAUCCAAGUGCUAAUUAUCAUCUCAUUGUCUACAAUUUUCAUUACACUAUGUUUUGCACCUUCUUGCCUACUUGAGAAACAAAAUUUUAAGUCUUGCUUGUGCUUAAAUGGCUGCUGUCUUUUUAUUCUAAGAUAAAGGCAUUUCUGAAACGCUUGGAAUGUGGCUUAGUCCAGCAGGUCUUUAUUAUCAGUACAUACAAAAGAAGAAUAAUUCCAUUACCUGGAUGAAGCUCACUCCUCACUCCUUCUUUAGUGUACUGAACAAAACUUGCAGCUAAUGGAAAAGAAAAAAGACCCAAUUAACAACUGCUCCUCAUGGCCGCUUGUUCAAGUUUAUCGUUUUCUACCUGGAAUAAAUGAGAGUUCUAAA